AACGAACGCUGGCGGCAGGCUUAACACAUGCAAGUCGAGGGGUAACGAGAGGAAAGCUUGCUUUCCUUGUCGACGACCGGCGCACGGGUGAGUAACGCGUAUCCAACCUGCCCCCAACUAGGGAAUAACCUUGCGAAAGUAAGACUAAUACCCUAUAAUUUCCUCAGAUGCCAUCUGACGAGGAAUAAAGAUUUAUCGGUUGUGGAUGGGGAUGCGUCUGAUUAGCUUGUUGGCGGGGUAACGGCCCACCAAGGCAACGAUCAGUAGGGGUUCUGAGAGGAAGGUCCCCCACAUUGGAACUGAGACACGGUCCAAACUCCUACGGGAGGCAGCAGUGAGGAAUAUUGGUCAAUGGGCGGAAGCCUGAACCAGCCAAGUAGCGUGCAGGAUGACGGCCCUAUGGGUUGUAAACUGCUUUUAUACAGGAAUAAAGUUAGCCACGUGUGGUUAUUUGUAGGUACUGUAUGAAUAAGGACCGGCUAAUUCCGUGCCAGCCGCCGCCGUAA
rnacentral:rRNA from 1 species